GGAAAAAAAAAAAAAAAAAAAACUUGCACACUCUGAGAGCUCAACUGUGCAUGCACUUUUCUAUUUGGUGCUUGUAGACGUUAUGGGAAAGUUGUCUCUCUCCCUACAUCUCUCUCCCUCUCCCCAUCCCUCCCUCCUUUUCUCCCUCUCACCGUCUAUCAUGUGCUUGGGAUAUGCUCAUGCUUUAGACAGAGCAGCUGAAGCACGCCUAAUGCAGGCUACUGACUGUUAGCGGCAAUUUUAAAGUGAUGCCCCCCCACCAAAUAAUACGGCUGGGAUAUUUGAGGGGAACAUAUACCUCAUGACGGUACACACGGACCCAACUGAACAGCGCGGUUCUGCUCCUGCUUGGGACACUGUCUGAUCGAUUGCAGUGAUUUGACUCACCUUUGUGAAUAAAAAUGGAGAAAGGGAGCUUUAGCAAACUGCAGGGACCAGGAGGGGAGGGUCAGGAUGAACUGUUUUGGAUUUUGAUCUCCAGUGGAUCCAGAUAAGGUUGAAUGGAGUCUUCAUAGAUUGCGACCCAGAAACAAAUGGCAUAACCACUGGAGUCUCCAGGCUAAAGACGUCAAGGAUAUUCAGCUGAUUUCAGAGGUUAAUGAAGUCCUCCACACGAACCAGAUGGGAACUUGGAAUUGAUCAAGAUUGGAACUUCACAUUAUCAUCUCCUAUGUCCUGAAAGUUUCUUGUUACAUUCUAAAGCAUUUGCACUUUACUGUCUAUCUAUGAAUUUACAAUCGC